AUUGAACGCUGGCGGCAGGCCUAACACAUGCAAGUCGAGCGGAGCGGCGGAGGGGGGAGUAAUGGCUAGGAAUCUGAAUGGUAGUGGUGGAUAACGUCCGGAAACGGGCGCUGAUACCGCAUACUCUCAGAUGAGCCUAGGUCGGAUUAGCUAGUGGGUGGGGUAAAGGCAUACCAAGGCGACGAUCAGUAACUGGUCUGAGAGGAUGAUCAGCCACACUGGAACUGAGACACGGUCCAGACUCCUACGGGAGGCAGCAGUGGGGAAUAUUGGACAAUGGGCGAAAGCCUGAUCCAGCCAUGCCGCGUGUGUGAAGAAGGUCUUCGGAUUGUAAAGCACUUUAAGUUGGGAGGCGUUACCAACAGAAGAAGCACCGGCUAACUUCGUGCCAGCAGCCGCGGUAAUAC
rnacentral:rRNA from 1 species